UCUUCAUAGCUGUCGUUGCGUUGAGAGAUUCACAAAUUAAAUUUUGCUAAAUAAAAAUAAUAUCCUACAACUAUCCGUAGAAAUGGUACAUCCUGAUUUAAUGGCAUUUAAAUAGCGUAAUGCCAAUUUAUGCCAUGUUGCAAAAAUGAUUAAUAGUGGACAAGGACAAAAUCGAUGAGUGUAAAGCUAUUUGGAGUGAUGUUAUCGAAUACAUGUGAAAUAAUCGCUAAUCAUGUGAAUUAUUGCUAACAUAACACCUUAUCGACGUCCCCUGCACUCGGUUUUAGUAUAUUUGUACAGUACAAAUCCAAAUAUUCUGGUGAAACCUAAAGUGUGUCAACAACACUCUAAGCCAUAUUGGUCAAAAUGAAUGAAAAGGUUGUGCCCAAUUUCACGAGUUACAUCAACGUACUGCCAAUGAACAAUGGUGACAAAAAUGGAUCAUUGCAAGAGUUGAAACCCAAACUAUUAAAUGGCGAGCAAGUGGUGGGUGUGGCGGAGAGCGUGGUGCUGCUGACGCCACUGAGCGAGCGCGAGCGCGGACGCUUCGGCUCGCUGUUCGUCACCAACUACAAGCUCACCUUCGUGCCCAUCGACGCCUCCGUCAGUGACGAAUAUGGUCAGCGCAACCAGCUGGUGGGCGCGUUCGACGUGCCGCUCACGGGCGUGGGCGCGCUGUGGCAGACGGACGGCGGGCUCACGCGCCGCAGGAGGCUCGUGCCGCGCUCCGACGUGCCCCCCAAGCUGAAGGGGUUGCAGGUUGUUUGCAAGAAUAUGAAAGUGCUGUCAUUCAACUUCACCAACUCCCCCAUCGGCAACGGCAGACAGGUCGCCAUAGCGCUGCUGCACCACGCAUUCCCCAAACGACACGACUUACUGUUCGCGUUCGAGUACAGAGAGCCAUACUACCCCACUCUCCCCUCAGAUUUAAACAUGUUCCAACGACCUGGCGACUGGAAGAGAGAGUUGGAGAGGUGUGAAUGCCCUCAUUGGAGAAUAACAUGUAUAAAUGGAACUUCGGAUGCCUUCAUGCUGACCGCAGGGGAGACCUUGAUAGUGCCCAGUUCGGUAUUGGAUUAUAAUCUGAUAGAGAGUGCGAGACACUUCAGGUCGGGGAGGGUUCCCGUUUGGGUGUGGGGGCGGUCGGACGGUGCAGCCUUGUUGAGGAGUGGGGAGUUGUUGCAGACGGAGCAAUCCGCUACUGCGGAGAGCGUGCUGUUAGAACAGGUCCGCCGCUCGCACCCCAAGCUAAAACCUCCACACGUGCUGUACCUGUGUGGGAACAGCUUCACCAACACAAAUAACUCGCUCACCCUACCGUCCCUGAGUACACUGAACUCGUCGUACAAGAAACUUGUUGACCUGUGCACACCUACCACCUUAUCUGGAUUUUGGAUCCAAGACUCGCAGUACUACUCUAUCCUGGAGUCGUCCCGCUGGCUGCGCUACGUGGCCAACUGCAUCGCCUUCGCUGACGACGCCGCCGCGCACCUCGUCAACAGCCAGACCGUCGUGUUGCAGGAAGGUGAUGGAGUGGACUACAGCGCAGUAGUGUCGUGCCUCGUUCAGCUGCUGCUCGACCCGCACUACCGCACCAUAGCGGGCUUCCAGUCGCUCGUGCAGAAGGAGUGGAUAGCGCUGGGACACCCCUUCUGUGACAGGUUCGGUCUCCCCAGGCCGGGCAACACCAAGGAGGAGUCGGAGAGGGAGCCCACGGUGCAGGCGGCGCCCGUGUUCCUGCUGUUCCUGGACUGCGUGUGGCAGCUGCAGCGGCAGUUCCCGGCCGCGUGCCAGUUCACGGAGACGUACCUCACCACGCUGUGGGACUGCGCGCACAACCACCUGUUCGACACCUUCCUGUUCAACUGCCCCAGGGACAGGGAGUUGGCGGUGGCCAAGAACUUCGUAGCUCGUCCGCUGUGGGACUGGGGCGAGCAGUUCUCGGAGCAGGACGUGGCGCUGUUCUACAACCCGCUGUUCGCGCCGCCCGCUCCCGCGCACCACAGGCUGUCACAAAUAUCAGCGAGUGGGCGGUGGGCAGCCAGCAGUCGGCUGGAGCCGUGCGCGUCGGUGGCGGGCAUGGAGCUGUGGUCGCAGUGCUACGAGCGCUGGCUGCCGCCGCUGGACGCGCCGCGCGCCGGCCCCGUGCAGUACUACCUGCACCACUGCGCGGUCAAGGCGCAGGUGAGAUGUGUGCACUUGCAGCACUAGUGUCGCAGUGCUACGAGCGCUGGCUGCCGCCGCUGGACGCGCCGCGCGCCGGCCCCGUGCAGUACUACCUGCACCACUGCGCGGUCAAGGCGCAGGUGAGAUGUGUGCACUUGCAGCACUAGUGUCGCAGUGCUACGAGCGCUGGCUGCCGCCGCUGGACGCGCCGCGCGCCGGCCCCGUGCAGUACUACCUGCACCACUGCGCGGUCAAGGCGCAGGUGAGAUGUGUGCACUUGCAGCACUAGUGUCGCAGUGCUACGAGCGCUGGCUGCCGCCGCUGGACGCGCCGCGCGCCGGCCCCGUGCAGUACUACCUGCACCACUGCGCGGUCAAGGCGCAGGUGAGAUGUGUGCACUUGCAGCACUAGUGUCGCAGUGCUACGAGCGCUGGCUGCCGCCGCUGGACGCGCCGCGCGCCGGCCCCGUGCAGUACUACCUGCACCACUGCGCGGUCAAGGCGCAGAUACAAAAGCUGAACGACAAGUUGUCCACAAUGUCCAUAUUGACGCGGCACUCGAACGGCGACGCCGACCCGAACGAGCUGCCCCCCACCCCCGCCGUCACCCGCUUCUACCCCUUCAGCCUCAGAAGCAGCGACACCGUCACCAGGAGCCUGGACUCCAUGCAAGUCAGUCUCAUAGACGCGAGCCAGUUGUUGGAUUCGCAAUCACUGUUGAAUGCGCCGGAUUAAAAAUAAUGUGCUUUUGUAUAUAAUAUUAUAUAAUUUGUCAUUUUGUGAAUGUUUUCAAUGACAUGUCUGAUAUCAAAGCUUUUUUACUAUUAGAUAUAUCGUUAACGCGUCGAAAAUGAGGCGAACAAAGUUGGCUAAUUGUUUUAAUUUCAUUUAGUCGCAUACAAAUAAUACGGAGUAGCUAAAUUCGGAUCAUUUUAAUUGUUUUAUAGGCACGUAACAUAUCUAAUAGCAUAAAAUCGUGGUCUGAUAUGACCUAAGAAGAGGUCAUACAUAAAAUAAUAUAUACUCAGAGGCACAAUUAUCCGCCCACUUUAAUAUACUCGCGUCAUAUUAUAGAAGGCGGAUAAUUGUGCCUCUAAGUAUAGUUAACAAUAUUUGUAGGCAAACCAAGCAAGUUCUCGUCCACGCAAUACAGGGGUGCGGUGACCAUAGCCUAAAAUCCAUAUACUUGAAAAUAUGGAUAUAUAAACUUUGACCGAAUUGUUUUGCUAGCAGAGGCCCCGCGGUUUCAACCGCGUAGUUCCCGUUCUCAUGGGAAUACAGUGAUAAAAUACAGAAUAUCUUGGUAUAUAUUUUAUGGUCUAUAUUAGUGAAUAUUUAUAUUUCUGGAUGACCAUGUGUGCCAAAUACGCACAAAAUUACAGUGUUUUAAGCGGCUACACAUGUAGUUAUUAAAAAAUGGCCAUUAGUUAGUCAUAAAGUUAAUCUAUUUCAAUUCAAAAUAAUCUUGAAUAAAAGAAGUAUUUGGCUUUGGCUUUUUACCUAAAAAAAUAGGUAUAAAAUAUACAUUUAUUUAGCAGCUAAAUGUAUGAUGUUUUAGUGGGCGUCCAAUAAAAAAUCAAAAUCAAAAAAUCAUUUAUUUCAAGUAGGCUCAGUUUACAAGCACUUUUGACACGUCAGUUGACUAUUUGUAAAGAUUCUACUAUAAUAUAAUGAAUAGAUAGAAUCAUUAGAAUGAAUAUGCAGUUGUCAAGUAGUCAUUUUAGAUCAAUACAAUAUACAAAGUAUUGACUUAUGGUUAUGGUGGUAUUAGAGCAAUUUCACCCUCAUAUUUCCCAUUACUACAGGGAUAAUACAAUAUAUACAGGGAUAAUAUAUAGCAUAUGUUACUCCCUGAUAAUGUAGCUUUCUACUGGUAAACGAAUUUUUCAAAUCAGUCCAGUAGUUUUGAAUUUAUUCGUUACAUACAAAAAUGUAAACUUUCCUCUUUAUAAUAUUAGUGUAACAUGACAUGCUUAUACUAUAAGAAAAUAGCAAUUUCGUGCUAAUUGGAUUUUCAUUGUAAAAUAGCGAUUUUAAUAAAGUUGAAUUAUUGUUGUCAGUGAAUGGAGAACUAAAAAUUUGAAGUUAAUUAUGUUAACAUUCAGCCUUAAAUAGUAAAUAAAUAAAGGACUGAUAUUUUUUUUUGGCAUGGAUAAGCGGCCAUUAUGAAUGCUAAUAAUAAUAUUGUAAGCCUCAAAACUAUUUAUCGGAUACCUGUGAUUUAAAUUGACUUAACCCUUGUGUCGUUGUGUGGUUGCAUAAAGAUACAUUUUAUGUAUGCGGGGACAAUUAUUAUUGUAUAUAGUUGUUGAAAUAAUUUUGUUAUAGUCACAGACUAAAGGAAAAAAAUAGACGAAACAUUUAUUUUAUUAAAAAUGAGGACAGUGCUUCUUACUAGCGACACAAGUCGUGUGAAGAUCGUAUGAAUUACUUUUACGUUUUUUACUUACACUUGGAGAAAAUAUAUAUUAAAAUAUUAGCUUCAAUCGUUUUACAAACAAUUUAUUGACAACUAUUAAGUCAUCUGGUUAUUUUAUUCCUUUAGUCUAAAAGUAAUAUAUACGUCUAAAAUAAGACACAUUUUAAAAGUGACAAUGGUGGUAAUUUAUAGAAAAAUUCUAAACUAAAAUUAUUUUGACAUCUGUAACAUUUGCUUUUACAGCUGUGUUUUAGAUUAGAAUUUAUGCUGUACAUAAAUUAGCACCAAUAUUAUUAAUAUAUAAUCAAUACAUUGAUAUGUGUUAAAAACGAAAUUAAUAGUAUAAUAACUAAGCCAUUGAAAUGAAAAGUAUCAUUCAUAGAUUCUAAUAUAUUUUGUUCAAUACACACACAUCAUUAUUACGUAUAUUGAUGUGUGAAUAGAUACGAGUAAAUACUUGUUGUAUUAUGUAAAUAUUUAGGAAACUUGAUAGGUAUAGUGUUAAGGAAUUCAUGGAAAUGUAAUAUAUUUUAUUAUCAUUUAGAUUAUAGAACAAAGUACCGAUAUAAAAUAUAAAUAUAGCUAUAUUAUUAUAAAUCGUACUUUUAUUUAAUUAGUUGAAAAGUUUGUAGUUUACUUUUUCUCUAUCUUGUGUUUUGCACAAACUAUUACUAUAUUGCUAUUGUGGAAUUUAUAAAUGUGGUGGGCCAAAUCUGAAACUACAAAAUUUAUUGAAGUCUCAAAGGAGCGGAAAAAUUCUUGAAACUUUUUGAAUAAAAAAAAAUAUUUCAAUUUUUGAGAGAAGAAUAAAACCUAUAUUAAUACGGAAAAGUGGAUCUCUAAAGUAUUUUUUGAUAUUUUAUCUUAUGUCAGAUUUGUCUCAUCAUGGGAAAAAGUAAUCCUGUAUGAUGCUUUUAUUUAAAUAAUUUUGUUGUAUUUUCAUGAGCUAUACAAGCCUAGACGCUUUAUCUCAUACACUUAUUUUUGUUUUAGUUUUAAUGAAAAUUCAGCCGUUUCUAGUUAUCUAGCUAUAAAGCUCUAUCGGUAAGUUAAACGACAUUGGUAUUUUAAUUCGAUUUCGUAGAAAGAGGAGGUUUUUGAUUCAUAAGAUAUUAAGCGGUUUGAAAAAAAAUGUUUUGAAUUUCCUACGUUAUGGCUAGGUACAUAUUGAUAUAUGAGAGGUAACAGAUAAUUUAAAUUAAAUGUAAAUAUUUUAUGCCGGGUCUUCAAAACAUUUACUUGUUGUACUUGUGUGUUUACCACCGUAAUCUAAACUUUAAUGUUUGAACAAAUUUUUAUGCUAAAUGCUAUGAAUAAGCAAGAUGACUCUGGUGUUUGGGAUAUUUCAAUUCUAUCAUGUGGUAAAACAUGACAAAACACUGCUAAUUUUUAUGCUAAAUGCUAUGAAUAAGCAAGAUGACUCUGAUGUUUGGGAUAUUUCAAUUCUAUCAUGUGGUAAAACAUGACUGAUGAGAGUACUUGACGCUUUUGUCUAUUGAACUUGUCGUUUCUUUUACUUAGAAUUUGCCAAAAUUAAGUUUUAUUUAUUGAAAUGUCAUUUGAAAUCUAUAUUUGGAACACUACUUUUGUGUUAAUUUUGUACGAUCUCUUUCGGAUACAUAAUCAACGUUGCUGAAUAACUUACCGAUAGUACAGGCAAAUGUAACCUAUUUGUUUAUUUUGUACAAGUGUAUAGUUGACCGAGGCACCGCAAGAAACUUUAGUUGACGGCAGCGUUACUUGCGGCAGUCUAAGUUCAACCUUUAUGAUUAAAUAUACGUAAGACCCUUUGCGCACAUUUUAAAAAAAGUGUUUUAAUUAUUAAUUACUUUCAGAACUUGUGGCUUAUAAAUUUAUACAAGUGUUGCCAUCUAUGAACCGAAUAAGAACAAUUCAAGGUCAUUUCAUCAAAUUUCAUAACCCACCUCGACGCAUAUACUUCCGUUCGUCCCAACGGAUAAGGGAUUAAUCUCAAACUUAAAGAUGAAAAGAAAAAAUAUUAAUAAUAUCUAUACUACCAAUAGUUGUAUAAACUUCACAAAUUAAAAUGUUUGUAAACACUAAAAUGUGUGCAAAGGCCCUUACCGUUGUUCUGUUACCACACCUUAUGAAUUAUUUAAGAUUUUAAGCUAUAAACCUCAAUGUAUAAGUUGCAAAAAGUCCAUGUGAAUAACUAAGAAUGUAAUAAACAUAGACUUUUUUGAUAUAACAAACUCAGCACCAAAUUCUCUUUAUUUAUCCGCAAUGUGAAUACACUUACUUUUAAUUACUUUAAUAACUAGGACCAAAACUAAUUUUGGGUUAAACAAAACAAUAAACCAAAAUCUAAACUUUAAUUGUUACUUGCACAUAAUGUUUUGUUGUACAUAUGGCAGCUAUUUGUUUGUAAAUUACAUAAUUAACUUUAAUAUAAGUGAUAGUAUAUUUAUUAUCUUUUUUCAAUAGACUUCUCGCUUUCAUAAUUUCAUAUUAUUCAGUAGUAAUCUGAAUUAUUCACACAAAUUAGGAUCUAGCCAUCGGAUUAAAACUGUGCCCCAAUAAACUUGAGCACAGUUUCAUGUGCCGUCUACCUUUUUUUGUUAGUCUAUGGCUUCAAGAUAUCGAUCUUUUAUCCCUGACCCUGAAUGUUAUAUAAUCUAUAUUUAUUGGCAGAUAACAUGUUCAAAUAUAUCUAAUAAUAUUGCCAUUAUUAUUCAUAAAGUCUGUAACGUUUUUGUUUUAAAUUGACAAUGUCAAUUGAUAGCUGAAAUUUGUACCUGAGAGGUAUAUAAAAAUUAUGUCAAAACACAAUCUUAUGAAGAUGGGAUAAUGCAAGGAGUGUACAGCUCGUGCGGGUUUACUUGACACCUGGCUCGAAUGGUGUUUCUAUUAUGCUUGGUAGCCAGGUUAAUGCGCACGAUUUUUAUAUAAUCCAUAUACACAUAGAUAAACUGCCUACCCUAAACUUUACAGAAUUUUGUAUGAUUCUAUAUUAUGUAUAUCUAAUUAAGUGUCCACACUAAUCAAAAGACCUGCACGUCGCAUGCAUUCAUUGUAUGUUUAGUAGAGUGGACGUAAGUUAUAUCUGAAAUAGAUAUAUUUUUUUUAAUUUGCACUGUUUUGUGUUGUUUCAAUUUCUAACAGCUGAUGUAGGUCUGGUGGUAGUACAUUCCUGAGCGAGCUCUCCAAUUUAGAGUAGUGCUGAAACAUCGUACACUAUGAGUACAUAAAUUAUUAUAUUGAUGCAAGUAGAAAAUAUAAAUUCUAGAGAAAAAAAAAUUAAAAUUCUACUUGGUCACGAAACCUGCCAAUAAUAAUAGUUUUAAAAAUUAUUGUGCAAAAGUUUAGACAUAUAAUUGUAAUAUUUUUGUAGUUCUAAAAUAUCGGUUAGUUAACAUACGUUCGGCGUGUUUAAAUUAAACCUUAAUAAUUACAUAUUUCUGUGUAUCUGUCGGUCAAAUGAUAUACAUUUUUAAUAUGUUGGGUUGGUUGGGAAAGUUAUUCAUACAUACGUCAUGCGUUUGUUAUGACAUCUUUAAUAUUUUAAAGCGUGUUUUUUAUGAUUAAUUUUUAAAAGGAAAAAAAAAUGUAUCUGAUCGAUUCUGCACAGAUUUAUGUAGUCUUUGGUUUACUUUGUACCACAUAAAAACAAAAUAUUGUAAUCUGGGGGCACGGCAGUGAUGCCGCCAAGAUUCAGUGCGAUCUGUUUACGAACAGCGCUUACAACUACAGUGCAGACUAUUGUGCCAUCGACAUUGACUUGUCAAUGAACAAAUUCAGUGUAAUCCCCUUCCUGUAAGAAAGAUAGAAACUGCACGAUAUCUUGAUAAAACAAAUCAUUAAUCAGAAACUUUUUAGUUAGUUUAUAAAUUCGAUGCAGUUUCAACUUUCAUGAUGGAAAGUUAUUAGUCCCUGGGAGGACCAUAGACAAAUCCGUUAUUUUUCUUUUACUCAACGACAAGUUAGCGUCUAUGAUCCAUAGAUUAUAUUUUCAAAAUUAGCGCGCUACAAUCGUAAAUAACCACAAGGCACAACAAGCGAGAUAUUGCGGCGUGUCUAUUGCUAACUUGUGGUUGAUUAAAAUGAAUAGCACUUCCAUAGUAUUAUAAGAGCCCAGUUUAAAAAUAGAAAAAUGAAUAGAUGUAUCGCCUCGACUGUGUUUUAAAAUUCUGUUGUUGAGUGUACCUGACAACGCGAAUUACAUAAAUGUUCAAAAUGAGAGAAAUAAAACGAAAUACCCUCAA